rnacentral:lncRNA from 1 species
CAUGAAUUAUUUUUUCACUCAUUCGAUUCGGCUCUAUAUACUCACAUUGCUUUUGUCAACGCUACUUUCUUUAAAUCUUCACAAGACAUGCAGUAGUUGAGUCAUCCUUCUCUUGAUGCAUGCUCAAUUGAUUCAUCUUUCUGAUCCAAAAAAUAUUGAGAAUAAGCCUUAGGCAGUUCUGUUACUGCAUGGUGUGUACGAGGAAAUUGCGGAAUAAGUGAAUGACAAACAUCUACAGGUUUCUCAUCAACAAGCUUCAUAGAUUGGAAAAGCCAGGACCUGAGAACAGUGAUGCCGGUGAUCCAGAGGACAAUGAUGAUGAAGAUGACAACAAUGAUCUGGAUGAUGAUGACGAUGCUGGUGAUGAAGACUUUUCAGGUGGUGAAGAAGGGGGGGACGAUGAAGAAGAAGCAGAUCCAGUGGAUGAUCCUGAGGCUAAUGGUAAUGAAGGCAGUGAUGACGACGAUGAUGAUGACGACGAUGGGGAUGAUGAUGAGGAUGGUGAGGAUGAAGAGGAAGAAGAAGAGGACGAGGAAGAGGAAGAGGAUCAACCACCAGCUAAGAAGAGGAAAUGAAGUAGUAGAUGUUAAUUCUAUGCCUUUUUCUUGGUUGGGAGUAUGUACAAUUAUGAG